GAGUCUGUGAAUAUCUCUUAGAGAAAAAAAUAUCAUAGUUACAUAAUGAUGCAGGAUCUGUGGAUAUAAUAUGGUCCAAAUGGCAGGACUAAAUGCGAGGACCAAAGCAUUCUAUGCUUCUACAUUAUACCUUUGAAACAAGCUUUGAUCUUUAAAAAUAAACAAAAAUAAACAAAAACAAACCCAGAUUCUCCUAAAAUAUGCACAAAAAACUUCAGCUUUUAUAAGAAAAAAAGCAAACAUCAGUUUAUAUAAUAGGUUUCCUAAAUGUUUUGUAAGAAUCUAGUUUUUGUAUCAUUUUUGUAUUUGUAUUUUCAUUAUUUCAAGGCUGGGUUUGCAUUGGAAGCAAGGGCACAGAUUUGGUAAAGCAGUGAAUCCUUCCAAAGACAAACAUUUAUUUCUGAUAUAACUUUUGAAGCAAUGUGAAUUUUCUUCUAUCAAGUUUCCUUAAAUUGAAAUCAAACUAUAACAAUAUCUUGGUUUCUAUGGGUUCUCUGUCAUGUGCAUCCUCAAGUAUAUGUGACCAAAGGUUUUUAAGCCAUAAUGUCACUAUUAUAUCAUCACCUACCUACCACAAGAAGGCUAAAAAUUGUCCUCUUUGAGAUUUUGAUAAUUUAAUAUUUCUGUGUGGAAAAAAAAUCAAACCCAACAAAAGAAAAUAAUAUAUGAUAAAGAAUUACAAGGCCUUCUAUCUCACCACUUGCUAUAGGUUUAAUGGUGUGGCCCUCAAAAGGAUACACUGACGUCCUAACUCUCAAUGCCUCAGAGUGUGAACUUAUUUGAAAAUAGGGUCUUGGCCGGGUGCGGUGGCUCACGCAUGUAAUCCCAGCACUUUGGGAGGCUGAGGCAGGUGGAUCACCUGAGGUCAGGAGUUCAAGACCAGGCUAGCAAAUAUGGUGAAACCCCGUCUCAACUAAAAAUACAAAAAUUAGCCGAGCAUGGUGGUGGGUGCCUGUAAUCGCAGCUACUUCAGAGGCUGAGGCAGGAGAAUCGCUUGAGCCCGGGAGGCAGAGGUUGCAGUGAGCCGAGAUCGCACCAUUGUACUCCAGCCUGGGCAACAGGAGUGAAACUCUGAGAAACAAAAAUGAAAGGAAGGAAGGAAAGAAGGAAGGAAGGAAGGAAGGAAGGAAGGAAGGAAGGAAGGAAGGAAGGAAGGAAGGAAGGAAGGAGAGAGAAAAAAGAAGGAAAGAAAGAGAAAAGAAAAAAUAAAGAAGGGAGGGAGGAGGGAGGGAAGGAAGGAAAGGAAAUAGAAAACAGGGUCUUUAUAGAGGUAAAAUCAAGUUAAAAUGAGGCCAUUCAUGUGGGCCCUAAUCCAAUAUGAUUUUUUGCUCUGACUAAAAGAGGAAAUUGGGACAAAGAGAUAGACACACACAGAGGGAGGAGGAUGUGAAAAUACGCAGAGACACCAUGUGAAGACAGAGAACUGGAGAAAUGCAUCUGUAAGUCAAGAAAUGCGGAAGACUGCCCGCACACCACCAGAUACUAGGAAGACACAAGGAACGAUUUCUCUGCGGAUUUCAGAAGAAGAGUGACCCUGCCAACAUCUUGAUUUCAGAUUUUUAGCCUCUACAACUGGGAAAUGAUAGUUUCUUUUGUUGUAAGUCACCCAGCUUUUGGUACUUUUUAUGGCAGCCCUAAACAAAUUCAACUCUUUUUCCAGUAUUAACAGUAGUAAAAUUAAAACGAUAAUAAGAAAAAAAUCUACUUUUCUGCUUACUCUUAGAAAAUCUGCCUAGCAUUUCUGCUGAUUUGAUUACAUUUACAUACAAUUUUAAUUAAAGAACGACUGAUAAAUGUUUCAAUUACAGGAAAAAAUACACUUAAUGAAGAAAUUGUCUAUGAUGAUGAUCUGAGAAGCCUUUUCGGAAAAUGUUGUGAUAUAUUUAUUUUUCUUUUCUACUAUUACAGAGAAGACUGGAGGAGAAACUAAUUCCAAGCCGCCAUACGUGAUCAACUGAGUCAUAAAUCCUUUGCCAGUGUAGGUGAGAGUUCACAGAUACUACUCUCAUACUCUCUCUAGUAAGUCUUUCCAUUUCUCAAUCAUUUAAGCAGUAGAGGACACUAUUUUUAUUUCUUUGCAUUUUCAAUGUAUAAUUUGUGCAAUAACACAUUGUUCAAUUUUUUCUAAGUUGGUUUCAAUGCUGAGAAUUCUCUUGAGUUCUCUUCCUUGACAGAAAAAAUAAAUUUCUGGAAUAUUUUCAAAAGCAUAUCCUUGCAAACGGAAAUGGUAAGCUUAAUAAACCAUGUUGUUUGAGGCCAGCCUUGCUGAAUAUUGCUCCUCAUAUCAUCUUUAGUUAUAUAAAGUCAUAAGGGAUACUGAUGUUCAAGAUCAUAAACAAAAUGUUGCUGUAGCUCAGCAAUUUCUUUUCUAUGCUUAAGAAUUGUUUUCAAAAACAACAUACACUUUUAACAUACUUCUGAUACUCUUGAUGAUAACCCCAGGCUUUGAUAGUUUGUUUUUUUUUUCAGCUGUUGCAUUGAGCCUUUGACAUAUGAAUAUAUCUGCAUCACUCUCAUAAACUUGAGAAGCUUUGUUGUAUUUUCCUUCAAAUUCUCUCUGGGUCAACACUUAAAGUACAAUCCAUUAACCAAGCCCUUGCAAUAUCCACAAUGGAAAAUGAAGAUAAGUAAAUAUCGCUGUGAUUCUUUUACUGACAUAUUUUCCCAAUUCUUACCCCUUUCAAACAGCAAAUCAGUUCUCGAAAUGAAAUCAAUCUUGUAGACAUGAUUACCAAUUAUAAAAAUAUUACAUUGUCAAAUUUUAUUAAUUGGAUCAAUUUUUAGUAUCAUUAAGAUUACCUUGCUUUCAUUUACAUUAGGUGAAAUUAUAGGAUACAACGACAUUAAUAAGCAAAGGUGAGUUUAAAAUAACAAGAGCUACCAUUUAUUCAAUGUGGUAUUAUGUGGAAAGAAACAGUACCUGAUGCUUUGCAAGCAUUAUCUUGCUUAACUUGCUUCAAAAAACUAUGAAAAACAUAUUAUUUCAGUUUUAUAGGUGAGGGAUGUAAUAGCUAGUACAAUAUAGGAAACAUAUGUCAGAGCCAAGAUUUGAAGUUGAGUCUCUCAGACUCCAAAAUCUGAAACUUUUUCAAAUAUGCCGUCUUGUUUUCCACACUGACGCUUUUGACCCUUGCCAUAAAGUCAGCAUGAUCUCUUUGACAAUGUGAAUGCAGUGAACACUGUGCACUUUGAACAAAAGAAAAGGUAGUAAAAGGACAAGACCAUUUUCAGGUAAAAUGAAGAAUAUGCAAAAUGUCCCCUUUUUUUCUUUCUUUUUGCUGCUUUCCUUCCUAAUUCCCUCCUCACCACUCCCACCUCUAAGUCAAAACCUUUUUCUUCUACCUUCAAACAUCUGCAGCUAUGCUAUUUCUUCAUCUACCUAUCAAAACCACUUUUCUCUCCAACCACUCUUCCCUUCUCCCAAUAUACUUUUAUAUCACUAGUUGUUAUCCAAUGAAUAUGAAUUUAAGUCUUUUGUUUCUUUGGGGACAGUGUGUGCAUGUAAGAAGAAGCAGUGCAGUAUAAUAAAGAAGGCAGGUUUGGGAGCCAGGCUCUUGACUGAAUCACUUGGUGACCUUUUUGUAGCCUUUUUGUGCCUCACUUUCAUCAUUUGUCAAGUAGUGCCUAUCCCAGCACUUACUGUGGGAAUUAAGUGAAGUGCUUAGAAUAAUGCCUGCCACAUGGUUGGUAAUAUAUGUGUUAGCUGUUAUCCAAAUGUAUCUUUCAUUGAAUUAAAAAUGUAAAUAAAAUAUGUCUUCUACUAAAGGAAUUGCACAACUUACCAUGAAAAGGUAAAAAAACAGUAUUGGGGUUUUGUUUUAUUACACCUCUAAAAACAUAUUACGUGAGGACUUUAGACGUAUAAGGUUACUUCUAUGAAGAAACAGAAUGGAAAAUGUCAAGUCAUUUAAGACGUUCACUUAUUACAUUAAAAUAUUUUCCAGGCAGGUGUGGUGGAUCAAGCCUGUAAUCCCAGCACUUUGGGAGGCCGAGGUGGGCAGAUCACUUGAGGCCAGGAGUUCAAGACCAGCCUGGCCAACAUGGCACACCCCAUCUUUACUAAAAAAAUACAAAAAUUAGCUAGAUGUGAUCCCAGCUACUUGGGAGGCUAAGGCACGAGAAUUGCUUGAGCCCAGGAGGCAGAGGUUGCAGUGAGCCAAGAUCAUGCUACUGCACUCCAGCCUGGGUGACAGAGUGAGACUCUGUCAAAAGGACGGAAGGAAGGAAGGAAGGAAGGAAGGAAGGAAGGAAGGAAGGAAGGAAGGAAGGAAAUAAAAUAUUUUCCAUUGAUUACCCAUGCUUUUAUUUUGAAUUAAUAGUGUUCAAUGUGUUAUCAAAAAAUAGAAUUAAAAAUAAAUUUUAGACAACAUGGAGAAAAAUAUUUAUGUUUCAAAUUUCCCAAGAGUCUGGCUUUGGUGCAUUAUAAUCCCGAUAGCUGGCAUGAUCCACUUUGUUGGCUACUUUUACAGGGUCCUUCUAUUCUCUUCCUUAGUCCCCAGGCUUUUAAUAGUCACACAGAAUAUUAUUUUCACUACAGAACAUACCUACCUACAAUUUGGCUGUUUUUCAAGCUGACUUAUUUCCCAGACAUAUUCAUCCUUUAAGUACGCAAAACUGACUUUCAUAAUAUUUCGAUUGAUAGGCAAUACACAAAUAUGUUUAAAUGAAGGAAUAAUUUAUUGCAUUGUACUUUAAAAUCCACAUUCCUUGCUAUACAUAAUCUGAAACCACUGUAAAAGUAUACUUUUUCUAAUGUAACAGCAGGCAUACAUUUUUUUCCAAUUUGAUGUAGGCAGGACCUCAAAUAAUGUCAAAGUAAAGAUGGUCAAUCUAUUCACUAUUGGAGGAAAACAUUCAUUGUGUAUCAGCUUGAGUUGGAGAAACUACAGUUAAGAAAUGUUUUGUAACUGAUGAUGGCUUCCAUGUUUAUAAAUCAAUGACUCAUAAUGUAUACAUGUAAACCUAUAUUUCAUUAUUUUGGUAGUAAACCCCAUUAUAACAUAUACUUUAACCCUAUUAUUCAAUAUAAAAUGGCAAAAGCAUUUUUAUGAUUCAUUUGUCGUAUUGUUAUUUUACUCAAGAUUUGUUCAAAUGUUUUACUUUUUGUAAGUUAAACUUUCUAUGCUUAAGGAGUAUAUAGCUACAAGAAACAGAGAAACCCUAAAAAUUACAGUUAUAAGACUUAGUUAAAUAUCUUUCAGUAAUUUUCCUUAGAGAUAUGUUCACACUGACCAAGCUACAUAAAUAUAUUUUUUAAAAUUUAGCAUACCAAUGUGCCUAUUCAUGAUAGGUUUUUUUUUUCUCCUCGUAACUAAAAGUUUGAUGGUUUCUUUUCCACUCUGUCUCUCUCUCUCUCUUCUUAAGCUACCUCAGACUAGUCCUGCCUAAAGUUUUAUAUUGUUUCUAUUCUACCGAUACUCAGAAAUACAUAAUUUGAAACUUGAAUAAAACCUCUUUUGUAUUUCUAAUUGUUGGUGAGCAUUAUUCUGGUUGUUAGCCCCUUGAAGGCAGGUACUUUGUGUUACAUUCCCAAUUUAUCUGACAACAUAUUUAGUUCAGCAUAAGUAAUAUGCUUAGCAUUCAAGAUAUAAUUUGUGAUUAAUUUAUUUUGCUUUUUAAGAGGAAUUCUGGGGGUAGCAUACAUGCCAAUCAUCCUUGAAAUAUAUAUAAACUACAGUGCCUCUAGAGUGUUAUAGAAAAGCCAAUCGAUUAAACAUCAAAACCUCUUAGAGUCUCUGAAUCAUAUUAUUCUAUUACUUCUCUUUGUUUUCUUUAUCUAUCUUUGUCUCCUAUUAUAAGAAAGAAGACAUAAAGAUAUAAAAAACUUUUCCUACCUCUGCCUUGAAGAAAUAUUAACUAUAACCUUCAUAAUUAUGACCAGGGACAAGUUAAUGACAGAUUCCAGCUUUGCUAUGGCUAAGGUAGACCACUCAAGGGAUCAACUAACUAAUAUCAAGGACAGUAGGGUUCUUACUCCACUCAUGAGCUUCAAGCAUUCUAUCUCACCCCUAAAAGAGAUUAUAACUCUUUUUUUUACAAUUUCAUUUUAUAAUAUAAACCAGUAUUUAACCUAUAUUUCUGAAUCACUGGACUGAAUAAUUUUAUAUCAAUUUAUUCCAACUGCUAUGAAUACUGAAAGUGCAUGAAUGGAAGAUGGUGGCCCAUAAGGUAAGGACUUGUAACAGUGUUUCCCCAGGAGAGGGGUAAACACAAAUAAUUCCUCCAGAGAAUCAAUUUGCAAAAGGAGCUCUUCAAGGUUCUGAACUCCUUUCCUUGCUCUGCUGUACUCAUUAGAUCUGACCUAACAAUGAUUCUGCUUAUCUUGGCGUUGUGUCACUACCCUUAGCUAUACUUGAAAUUAAGAAACUAACAUAAUUUAUUUUGAGUUACUAGUACAAUAGAAACUAAUUUUCUUGAUGGGAUUCAGUUUGAGGCAGUAGGUUCUGUAUAAAAAUUUUUAUCGUAGAUACAAUUGUCACCUGAUUUCUAGAAAAAAAAAUAUUAAAGAUAACCUAAUGAAUAUGCCAAACUUACUAGGUCUGUAUAUUUGCUUUAUAUAAAAUGUCAUCAAAUUUAAAUAUAAUUCCCAUAUAAAUAUAAUGCCCAAUAAAGUCCACAUCUCUGAAUUAUCUAUUACUUGCAUUUUGGGGUGUGUUUAUACUACCUAGAAUGUUAACCUUUAUUGUGCCUUAAAAGUGCUUUUGUAAAAUGUAGGCACUUUUAUAACUAUGAAUGAGGCUGGUAAGGUAGUGUUUAGGAUUCUCCACAUCAGUUAGUGAAUGUAAGAAGUACAGUGUUAAAACUAUUGUAAACAGUUUCCGGAGCAAGUAUAGACUGAGUCCAUCCAGAAUGACUGUAACCAAUUUGACAUCACGUUAUGGAUAAAGAAGCAAUGAAAAAUAAACCAAAUAACUACAGUAUAUCAUAUUCUUAACUUUCAUAAGCCGUGUUUUAUGGAAAACUUUUUAGUUUUCUCAAAAGGCUAAUACAUUUCAAUAUUUUGAAUACAUCAUUGUUAAUUUUGAGUUGGCAGAGGUAAAUUAACCAACUACCAUUACGUUUUAGGAUUAAGAGAUAUAGCUUUUAAUAAAGUUACUGAAAUAAAAAAAAAGAGAAACUAACAUAAGUUAAAAUUGAUUCUACAUAGUAUCAAGACAGCAAACUCAAAUGUCUAAAAGGACCAGGUAGAAAAUGUCAAUAAAUAAAUGUUUGUGUUCAAGGAAACCCAAAACUAGAGCAGUUGAGGGCCCACACAAUCUAAGCAUAGUGUUUUCUGACUCUUGAUGCAUCAAUAAAAUACUCAGCCUCUGAUAAUUUUAUUUUAUGAGAUAAACCAGCAUAUAACCUAUAUUUCAUGAUCACUGGACUUAACACUUUUAUAACAAUUUACUCAGGUAAGUAAAAUAUUUCUUCGCUGAGAAGAUCACCCACUGCCUCACUUUCAACACACUGAUUAAAAAUCUUAGAACCACAAAAAGCUUUAAGGACUUACUAAACAAUUAAGCAAGAAAUUACAAUUUUGCCAGUCAUCUCAGGUGAAUCAUACCAUCCUGACUCAUAAAAUUUCCUUAUGAACAUAUUGACAACUUUUAGGAAAAAAUCUUCGUAACAGACUGCUUGAGAAAAUUCAUAAUAUCUCUGGCCUGGUCACACAGCUUAAGUACUUUCCGUAGAAAAUAUUCAUGGGAUUUAUAGAAAGUCAGUCUAUAGUGUUUACAGAUUAAGAAGCAAUCAGGGUCCUCUUCAUGGAAAAUGAGGAUUUAUUUACAUUUUAUCAAUAAUCAGAGACUCUAUGAAGUUGUUAGAAUGAGCUAGGUCUAGUCUUGAGGACUUACUAAAAGUCUUCAAAGGAAACUUAAGCAUAAGCAGAGUAACUUCUCUCUGAAGAACAAAUCAGGAUACUUCCUGAUGUCUACCUAAGGUCCCUCGAAGCCAUAAGCCCAAACAUUUUUUAAUUAUUUCUGUCCCAAAUCCUCUUGCUAAGGAAUUAAUGACAUUCUUUAAAGAUUCAGCAUCAUAUAAAUGGAGAAGAGCCAGGUAUGUGCUUUCCUAGAGAGAAAAAAUAAAUCAAACACAGUUCAUACUUUAUUCCAGAAAUUAAGUGUUAACAUGUCAAAUGCUUUUGUCUUUAAUUUGAAUGUCUUUCCCUUCAUAAUUAUGUAGAGCAGAGGUUUAGUAUUUCUGAGGCUAUUAAAAUUCCUGAGAUAAACUUGAUUUUUCUCUAUACCGUCACGCUCCAGAAAACAUAAGAAGAAUGUUAGUUCUAACCUAAAAGAACCCAACUACUUCUGUGGAUAAUCAGUUUAAACAUCCACGGGUCAGAGGAGGGGAUGACAGUUUAUUGUGAUAAACACAUGUCUAAGAGAACCAGAUCAAGGUCACUGACAUGUUUAAUAUUAAUUGCUAAACAACUGUCAGAUGGCAAUGGUUUGAGUUCACCACUUCUCAUGAGUUGAAUCCAAAUUGCUCUCUGAAGGAGAAAUCAUCUACUAAAUUCUGUUCUUUCAACAAUGAAAACAGGCAUACCUAUCAAUUUUCUAUAUAAAAAAUACCGUUGUGUUUAUUCACUCAAAUGGAUUUUCGGCUCUGCCAAUUUAAUUUCUUCACCGAACCUACUAGUAUAUGCCUCUUCAACAUAUUCACAUUCAAAUAAAUAAGAGUAAUAUUUUCAUUGAGAGAGGGAUAUAUACCUCAGAUAAAUUCAUUGUUCCCUCUUACCCUCUGUUGUUGAUAAAUUUAGUUUCAAAACAUUCUAAAGCAAUCUUUUGAAAUCAACUGUUGGCUUGAGUACAAAGAACACGAGGUCCAACUAAUUCCAAGCAUUUUUUUAAUGUGGUAAAGGUGUUGCUUUGAUUGUUACUCUCGGCCACUAACUAGCAUUGGAUCUUUUAAUUCCUUCAAAAGCAUUUGAAGGACUGGCUUCAAACCUUUCAAAAUCUGUUUCAUAUAUACAUAUACAGAAGAAUAGAGAGAAGUUUCUGAAUAAAAUAAUAAUAUUUUGCAAUUCUCUGAAACUUGAGAGGGAACCAGAGAAUGUUUAUUACUGAGUUUUAAUGUCUUUUAAAGAGCCAACACCUGAUACUUCAAAAACAUUAAUCUCUCCAAUAAACACUUUACUCCCAGAAAUUCAUCUUAAAUUCAUCUUAUAACAUAAACAAGCCUAGUAAGUAGCAUUAUUAGGAGAAAUUUCUGGCUGAGUUCCACAUAUAUAUUCAACUUCCUGAACACCCUUUAAAAGCAAUUUUACCUUACUUGACACAACACAGAAAUUAAUCAGCAAUAAUAAGUAAGCUAAAACUUCAACAAAAGUGUUUGCAUCUUGGCCAGGCACCUGACUCAUGCCUGUAAUCCCAGCACUUUGGGAGGACUAGGCAGGUGGAUCAAGAGGUCAGGAGAUGGAGACCAUCCUGGCCAACAUGGUGAAACCCUGUCUCUACCAAAAUACAAAAAAUUAACCAGAUGUGGUGGUGCACACCUGUAGUCCCAGCUACUUGGGAGGCUGAAACAGGGGAAUCACUUGAACUCAAGAGGCGGUGAUUGCAGUGAGCUGAGAUCACGCCACUGCAGUCCAGCCUGGUGAAAAAGUGAGACUCCAUUUCAAAAAAAAAAAAAAAGUGUUUGUAUCUUAAUUUGAAAAUAUUCAUAAAGAAAUGUGUACCCUGGUAAGGGGGACAGAUAACCUAAAAGAAUUAUAGGGGGAAGAGUUUUACAUAUAUAAUGAUCACAUUUUCAAAAUUAUAGUUGAUCUGCAGAUAAAUAAAGUAUGGUGUUUUUGCCUUUAUUCUGUAAAUAUAAUAUAUAUCCUUUCUCUCAAUGACCUGCUAAUCCAACACUGAUGAUUCCUUGAAACAUCCCUGUGACUUAAAGUUUACAAUUACUAAGAACUUUUCCUAACUCACCAUAUCUCAGUUAUUCAUACACUUAAAUUUUCUUUUAUCCUGUCGAAAUCAUACAAGUAUUGUCUGCAACCAAGAUAGGUAAACAUACCUUCUAGACCACUAGAACACAUGGCUGUUUUCCAGAUACACAAUAAAUGAUGUCACAGACGAAGAAUCAAGAUACAGACUUCUCUUUACCACUGAAAAUGUUCACCUCACAUUUUUAUCACAACUUAGGUGGGUGGGUUUUUGUUUUUUGUUUUUGUUUUUCCUACUUAUGAAAAUAGUGCCAAAGAUCUUCAGCUGGCACUCCAAAGCACAGACAAUUGCAGCCAGUGUUCUAGAGUUACUUCUGAAUAUUAUCCUAGACAAGUAGCAGGAGCACUGACAUGCUUUCAUAAGAGAAUAAAAGACAUACAAAGAUUUAUUAUCUGGCUUCAUAAAUUUAAAGCAACUGUAGUGCCUUGAAUGUCUUUGUAUAAACUUUCAUAUGACUCUAAUAGAAGAUAAAAAUCUAAUAGAGACUUCCAGAAGGUCAAAUAUGAAAGAUAAUCAUGUCUAAUGAAUAAAUUGAUUUCUGCUAAAUGGGUCACAACUCCAAAAGAAUCUAUAUUAUUUUUUGAAAGUGCACCUAAAGUACAAAUGUGGCUCCAUAUUAUGUAAGAUUUUGGUACAAUAUUUAAAAUUCUGAAAUCAUUAAGCAAUUCCAACCUAAACAGAAGUAUGACAACUUGUGAUUAUCUAGACUAUAUGGCUAACUCUUUUAAUUUUAUACAGAUGUUAAGUCUUACCUCUGCAUGUGUGCACUGAGAAUCCAGAUGAAAAAAAAAACUUAAUUGUACUUUUCAAAAAACUUGGUUAGAUAAUUUUAUUUAAACAUUUGGUUUUGUACAGUAUAUAUUUAAAUUAUAUUGCUUAAUGAAUCCAUCUGAAAACAGUCACUGGUUGCUUCUGUGAUUUGUGAAUAGGAGAACAUAUAAACACAGCAGAAUGGCUUACAUCUAGCAAUAUGUGCUUGCCAAGAUAAUUGGGAAUUAAAUAUGUAAAUACACGGAAAUAAUAUCUUUGUGGUUACAUAUGUGACUUCCAAAUCAGACCAAACUAAUUCCUUAGGAAGGCCAAGUGAUAGAGAAGCCAUAGCAUUAGAGUGACACCCAGAAAUUAUAGAAGACAAGCAUUACACAAAGGCAUAGAAAAGUUGAGAUUUUGGUUUUAAGAAAUUUUCCUCUUUGUAAGUCAAUGUCUUAGUAAACAGAAACUAUGUAUUCAUUACAAACAAAUUGAUAGAUGUGUAUGUGUGUGCAUUCAUGUGUGUGUGUAUACAUGACUAUAAUUCACAAUUUAAUUUGGGUAGAUAGUUAUUGUAUAGAUACACAUAUGCUUUCAUUUGGCAAUAUAUUAUAUACAUAUAAUAUAUAAAAUUUCAUCUGGCUAUUAUAUUAAUAUACCAUAAAUAAUAAGAGUGUGUGUGUGUGUGUGUGCAUGCGCAUGUGUGUGUGUGUGUGAAAUUUAGCUAUAAACUUUGAGAAGGGAAAUAAAAAGCAAAAAAAAAAAAAAAGGAAAAGUUAAGCCUCAGAAGAUAAUACACUGAUCUAGUCAGUUUCUUUAAAUCUUGAAAAAAUGGGUUUUUAUUUUUUGUUUGAUACUUUUAUAAACUCAAAGUUGUCGCAAUAACAUAGAGUGGUUUCGAAUUGAAAAAUAAAAAGAUAAUUGCCUGUGCUCAGAUGUUGGAGAUCAGUUUGGGCAACAUAGUGAGAUCUCACCUGUACAAUUAUAUUUUUAAAAAAAUCAGCCAUCGGUGGCAGUGCAUGCCUGUAGUCCCAGCUACAUGGGAGGCUGAGUCAGGAGGAUGGCUUGAGCCUGGGGGACUGAAGUUGGAGUGAGCUGUGAUUGCCUCAUUGCAACUCAAGCCAGGGUGACAGCAACACCCUGUGUCAAAAAAAAAAAAGAUACUAAUGGCUUAAAUAUGCAUAAUCUCAUGUUUGUUAAACUAUGCACAGCCAUGAAUUUACUAUCAAUAAAUAUUUUUACCAUUUUCUUUUUUGUUAUCUUUUAGAUCUCCAUCAAAAUAAACAUAAGUAAAUGAAUUUUUUAUCUUUACUUUUGCACUAUCUUCUCUCAUUUAUCGCUUUAUCUUUGCAAUCAGUUCCUAGCUUCCUUUGGUUUUAUUAGCAAGGUAUUACAUUUGCAUAGCAUUAUGUAUUAUAUUGAACCAUAUAAAAGUGCCUUUUAUAAUUAAAAAUCGUUGAUUAUUAGCAAUUUCAUAUGGCUUAAACUUAACUCUUCUCAAAGUGCAUUUUUAUGAAUUCCCUCAUUUGAUCAUCAACCUUGUUAUAAGAUUAAUACUCAGGUUACACAAAAGAAAAUAAGGUUUUAAAGAGUUAUUACUAAGUCUGAAUCAGCUAGAUACAUUAAAGUACUGGUGCUUUGAUUGUAGAUUAAAGAUGUGAACAUGCAUAUACAAAGGCAUUGUCCUGAAAUUGGUUUUAAUGAAAAGCUCAAAAUCCACAUUUCCAUCUUCCCCCCACAACUUCUUACCCCACUAAAAAGUUAUCAUGAUGAUUAACAUGGGGCCUUUCUUCACUGAACUACUAAUUAUUCUUUUCAGUGCUUCUUUUAUUAUUAUGACUUUAACAAUACAUCUUCUGAUCUUACUAAUAUAUUUUUUAUUAAGAAGCUUAGUUGGUUCUACCAAGAUUAAAGAGGAGAUCGUAGCCAAGUUUCUUUUAAAAAUGAAGACUGCUUAUUCUUAGCAAGAGGAUACAAAAUUGAGGGCAAAACUGUGGAAAUUUAAUUUGCAUCAUUUGUCCACAGUAAGUAUGGCAACUGUAUGCAAAAUGCAGCAGCCACGCAUUUCAUCAGUGAUAACAUGUGACUAGACUUUCUACGCGCUCUUUUGUUUUUAUUUGGUAGAGAUAGCACCUUCCAGUGUUGCUCAGGCUGUUCUUGAACUCCUGGCCUCAAGGAAUCCUCCUGCCUUGUCCUGCCAAAGUGCUAGGAUUACAGGUGUGAGCUGCCACACCUGCCUUUCUUCUCAAUUUUUUAAUCAAUAUAAAUUAUAAAAUGUUGUUCAUAACUAAGGUUGAAAAAUAUCUAGUCCUUCACCCCUUACCCCUUCUCAUUCCCCAAACUCUGUGAAUCUACUGUAAAAUGAAUUCAUAAACCAAGAGUCAUUGCUUUUUUAUUCUACUACUUACAUUUUACAUGGCAAACACAGAAAAAAGUUGGGUAGUACCUCGUGGAAGAACAAAAAAGAAGAACCCUGGGGAACAAUUUCUGGGAGUAUAUUAUACCACAUGAAAUCUGGAAAACUCCUUCAUUCUCAUCUGUCUUUUUUCCACUCUAAAUCAACACACUAAUUGGAUAGAAUUUUGCCCAGUUAACUUAUACUUCCUGCAAAUAUUACUUCAAGGAUCUCACUUAAAAAUGUAAAAUAAUUAAAUCCCCCCAUAAAAGAAAUAAUUUUAAAAUAUACAAAGGUAUUAGAUACAUUUUAUUCUUAUUGUCUCAAAAUUAUUGUAUUUUGAGCAGAAUUAUUAUAUUGAAAUUCUGUAUUUUCCUUACUUAGUAUUGCACUGGGAAUAAGCUAGACACCAUCUGUUUGAUGCAAUUGUUUACCCCAAAGGGAAAGUAAGUUCUAGAAAACAACUCUUAAAAACUGUGUAGAUGUACUUUCUGAUUCGACGACAUAGAAUAAGGAGCUAUAUAGAGAAGAAUUCUUAGAACUAUGUCAUAGAAUCAGAAUAUGUAUAAGGCAGAAUUCUUAGAAUUAUGUUGCAAUCAGAUGAACCGACACACUCUUUUUUUUUUCCUUUUUGCCUUCGCUUGACAAUCAAGUUAAACCUAUUUACCUUGACUGUGUUUGCACUAUUCCUACUUCAUCUUUAUUGAGUAAUUCUGUUCCUUAUCAUGACAACAAAAUUACAUUUUGAAACUUUCUCAUUUAAAGCAGGUACACAAGUCAAGACAGACACCGAUCUCCAUUGCAGAUGUGCACUGGACAAUGUGACAAGGGAUGCAGUGGAAUCUCAUUGGAUAUCACAGCACAGUCUACACACUUCAGUGUCUCCUGGGUGGCAGACCUCACAGAAUGAAGCCAGGAGCCUUAUGCUGAGAGAAUAGGAAUAUUCAAUGGGUUCUUCCUUCAUCAUGAAAAAAAGCAACCAGAAAACAAAUAGCUUACAGCAAUCUUGAAGCUAUCUUGUGUGCUUGUCUCAGUAAAAAAACUAAACGCAAGGAGGAAAAAACAAACUUGACAUGGUUAAAAAGCAGAGGCUGCUCAUCUGAAUUUAUCUUGCGUUAUGCUUUUUUUAAUUAAAAAUCCUUCAAAGCUUA